rnacentral:rRNA from 1 species
AUACGUAGGGGGCGAGCGUUGUCCGGAAUGAUUGGGCGUAAAGGGCGCGUAGGCGGCCCGGUAAGUCUGGAGUGAAAGUCCUGUUUUUAAGAUGGGAAUUGCUUUGGAUGCUGUCGGGCUUGAGUGCAGGAGAGGUAAGUGGAAUUCCCAGUGUAGCGGUGAAAUGCGUAGAGAUUGGGAGGAACACCAGUGGCGAAGGCGACUUACUGGACUGUAACUGACGCUGAGGCGCGAAAGUGUGGGGAGCAAACAGGAUUAGAUACCCUGGUAGUCCACACUGUAAACGAUGAAUGCUAGGUGUAGGGGGUAUCGACCCCUUCUGUGCCGCAGUCAACACAAUAAGCAUUCCGCCUGGGGAGUACGGCCGCAAGGUUGAAACUCAAAUGAAUUGACGGGG